rnacentral:rRNA from 1 species
CAGCAGCCGCGGGAAAACGUAGGGUGCAAGCGUUAAUCGGAAUUACUGGGCGUAAAGCGUGCGCAGGCGGUGUUGUAAGACUGAUGUGAAAUCCCCGGGCUCAACCUGGGAAUGGCAGUGGAUACUGGCAAGCUAGAGUGUGUCAGAGGAUGGUGGAAUUCCCGGUGUAGCGGUGAAAUGCGUAGAGAUCGGGAGGAACAUCAGUGGCGAAGGCGGCCAUCUGGGACAACACUGACGCUGAGGCACGAAAGCGUGGGGAGCAAACAGGAUUAGAGACCCCUGUAGUCCCUGUCUCUUAUAC